rnacentral:rRNA from 1 species
CUACGGGUGGCUCCAGUGGGGAAUAUUGCACAAUGGACGAAAGUCUGAUGCAGCAACGCCGCGUGGAGGAUGACACAUUUCGGUGCGUAAACUCCUUUUAUAUAGGAAGAUAAUGACGGUACUAUAUGAAUAAGCGCCGGCUAACUCCGUGCCAGCAGCCGCGGUAAUACGGAGGGCGCAAGCGUUACUCGGAAUCACUGGGCGUAAAGAGCGUGUAGGCGGAUUAAAAAGUCAGAAGUGAAAUCCUAUAGCUUAACUAUAGAACUGCUUCUGAAACUCUUAAUCUAGAAUAUGGGAGAGGUAGAUGGAAUUUCUGGUGUAGGGGUAAAAUCCGUAGAGAUCAGAAGGAAUACCGAUUGCGAAGGCGAUCUACUAGAACAUUAUUGACGCUGAGACGCGAAAGCGUGGGGAGCAAACAGGAUUAGAUACCCCAGUAGUC